rnacentral:tRNA from 1 species
GGAGACGUGGCCGAGUGGUCGAAGGCGGGCGCUUGGAGAGCGUCUGAGUAGCAAUACUCCUAGAGUUCGAAUCUCUACGUCUCCGCCA